rnacentral:rRNA from 1 species
CCUACGGGUGGCAGCAGUGAGGAAUAUUGGUCAAUGGACGAGAGUCUGAACCAGCCAAGUAGCGUGAAGGAUGACUGCCCUAUGGGUUGUAAACUUCUUUUAUAUGGGAAUAAAACGUUCCACGUGUGGGAUUUUGUAUGUACCAUAUGAAUAAGGAUCGGCUAACUCCGUGCCAGCAGCCGCGGUAAUACGGAGGAUCCGAGCGUUAUCCGGAUUUAUUGGGUUUAAAGGGAGCGUAGGUGGAUUGUUAAGUCAGUUGUGAAAGUUUGCGGCUCAACCGUAAAAUUGCAGUUGAAACUGGCAGUCUUGAGUACAGGAGAGGUGGGCGGAAUUCGUGGGGUAGCGGUGAAAUGCUUAGAUAUCACGAAGAACUCCGAGUGCGAAGGCAGUUCACUGGACUGCAACUGACACUGAGGCUCGAAAGUGUGGGUAUCAAACAGGAUUAGAUACCCGGGUAGUC